AUCAGGCACUUGCUGCUGGAGGGGGACCUGCCUGUACCGCGCUCCAAGAACGUCCUGAAAUGCCCUAUACGUUACAAGCGAUUAAUGCUGCAAGUGGGCUGAAGGGCAUUUCCCUUAAUUUCCACACAUUUCGGUUACUUUUUUGAUGAGGCAAGAAAACAUCACAGAAGCAACUAGCGAAGUAAAAAAUAAACGGCAACAAAAUAAUUAACGAGUUGUUCGCAAAAGAUGAUAGUGAACGGCAAACAAUUAAAAGCGCGCGGGCUUAUUCCACGCAAAAAAACAUGCGCUCUCUUCUUCCCAUGGACUACUCAGACGGACUACGUAAGCAUUGAGAGCAAGCUUGGGUGUCAUCCAGUACGAGCCCAGCCAUGCCGUGGGCUUCUUUCGUGAGCACACCAGGAGUCGCUGGGAUCAGUGAGUUAGGAUCAACUGGGAAAACAUUCCACAAGGUGGAGAUGAAACGCUUGGCAAGCAAUCUUUGCGAGAGAGCUGCCUUCCUAUGGCGAGGACACCAUCACCCCUAUACCAGAACCCACUGGGCAAAUCGAACAGAGGGAUCAGUUGUCCAUCAUUGACACUAAGAGGAUCAAACUGCUUUAAAACUGCCGUUAACACUGAGUGAGUACUGAGUGGGUACUGAGUGAGUACUGAGUGAGUACUCACAGUAAAUUUCACGUUUCUAGUCUCGUUCAAGUCUCCAUAUAUUCAUGGAAAUGGAAUUAUUCUGGACUUCGAACAGGACUUCUGGGCUAUUUCAAAAUAUCCUGAAAUAAUCACACUUCUACCACAUCCCAAUAAUACUUGUAUACUGUAUUUUAUUUUUAUUGCAGAUGUAUAAAAAAAUUCUAAUCUGACGGUGUACCAUAGGAAUCAAAGGGAAAUAAUUUACCCCAAAAAACAAUAAU